rnacentral:ncRNA from 1 species
AUCGCUAGGGGUGCCGUUUGGCUGAGAGGAGCAUAGCUCCAACCCUCGAACCUGAUGUGGUUAAUACCACCGUAGGAAAGCA